AGAUUGAACGCUGGCGGCAUGCCUAACACAUGCAAGUCGAACGGGAGUAGCAAUACUCUAGUGGCGGACGGGUGAGGAAUACGUAGGAAUUUGCCCUUAAGUGGGGGAUAACCCGGGGAAACCCGGAUUAAUACCGCAUGACCUCGAAAGAGCAAAGUGGGGAUCGCAAGACCUCACGCUUUUGGAGAAGCCUACGUCGGAUUAGCUAGUUGGUGAGGUAAUGGCUCACCAAGGCGACGAUCCGUAACUGGUCUGAGAGGAUGAUCAGUCACACCGGAACUGAGACACGGUCCGGACUCCGUACGGGAGGCAGGC
rnacentral:rRNA from 1 species